CCCGCGCCGUGCUCAGACCGCUGGUGGGCAGGAUAGCAGGGUUGCGGCCGUCCACUCCACUCACUGCCCGAGCGCUCUCCAUCUUGAGAGACGGAGGGCUCUCCUCGGUACCAGGGUGGCUUCUUACACAGGGCUGCCGUUGUCAGUCGUUUGGUAGGGAUAUGAUCUCUGUUUUUUGUUUUGUGAAAACUGGGAAAAAUUGCAGGAGCCUUUGUUUUGCGCGGCUUGCCAGCAUGGCGGCCC